rnacentral:rRNA from 1 species
AUUUAGCUAGUCAAAACAAGCAAAGUGUCGCUUAAGUUUGUACUCCCGAAACUAAGUGAGCUACUUUAAAACAGCCAUAAGAGCCAACUCGUCUCUGUCGCAAAAGAGUGAGAAGAUUUUUAAGUAGAAGUGACAAGCCUAUCGAACUUAGAGAUAGCUGGUUAUUUGGGAAAAGAAUAUUAGUUCUGCCUUAAGUUCAUAACAACACAUCCUAUAAAGUAACUUAAGAGUUAUUCAAAUAAGGUACAGCCUAUUUGAAACAGGAAACAACCUAAAAUAUAGGGUAAAGUCCAUCAACUACGUAACCAAGUUGGCCUAAGAGCAGCCACCUUUUAAAAAGCGUCAAAGCUUAAUUACUUUAUAUUAAUAAUUACAAUAAAAACGCUAAACCCUCAUACAAUACCAAAUAAUUUUAUAAAAAUUAUAAAAAAUAUAAUGCUAAAACUAGUAAUAAGAAAAAGACUUUCUCCUAAAUAUAAGUGUAACGCAGAAUAAACUGACAGCUGCUAAUUACUGUUCAUAAUUUUAUAGUAGUAACCUCUCUAGAAAACCCUACUACUCACAACAUUAACCUAACACCAGAAUAUUACAGGAAAAAUUAAAAGAAAAGGAAGGAACUCGGCAAACUAAAGCCU